rnacentral:tRNA from 1 species
GUCCUAAUAGUAUAAUUAAUAUUACCCUGGUCUUGUAAACCAAAAAUGAAGAAAAAAUCUCCUUAGGACA